ACCUUGCUGUUGAGCCCAAUGGAAACUACCCUGUGGUCGGCGCUGCCGGUUCUGCAACAGCCAGCGCCCCCGCUCUCCCCGCCCCACGGACCGGAUGUCCCGAGGUGACAACUUGGUGUAAAUGGGUCAUGAGAGGUGUCCAUCUUGCCAGGAAGCAGCUGGACCAUGGUGCUCCCGAGUGAGGUGUCCCGGGAGUUGUCCUGUCAGGAACACCUUAGACCCCAGUGUCAUUGAGGUAAGAUCUCUGGACCAUUGGUCUGUUGCAUAUAGCCCUGUGCAUGUUGCCAGGGGCUUUAAGUGGUAAAGUAGGGAAGCUGAGAGGCGAGAUGAGGGUGGCAGAUCUGCUGCCUACCCAGCCAGCCUAGAUCACAUCUGACCCUUCACAUAUUGUGUUAGUCAGCUUUUUGUUUUUGUGUCAAAAUACCUGAGAAAACUACUUAAAUGAGUUUUUGUUUCUUUGUUUUUUGGCUGGGGGUUUCAGAGUUUUCAAUCCAUGGUCUGCUGGUUCCAUUGCUUUAGGGCCUAUGGCGAGGCAGAAAUGUCAUUGGCAGAAGGCCUGGUGGAGGAAAGCUGCUUACUUCAUCACAGCCAAGAAGCAGAGAAAGAAAGAAAAAGCCAUGGGGAGGACUUUGAGGUUGAGGGAUGCUGCGCUGGAACUGGAGAUUGCUGAAGGAAGGCCCUGGAAUAGAGGCACUGACCCUGUCAGGAUGAUGAAUGGGGUUCCUGCUCUGAAGGGAUCUCCUCAUGUUGGUUGUGGUGUUGAUUGUGGACACUGGCAUAGCAGAGUGAAGAGUGUCAUUGUCACACGACGCAUUCCAGACCUUAGUGCAGUGGCCUCAGCACAACACAGAGCACCUUUUUACUCUGCAUGAGCAAGCGGAGGGGAAGGCCUGGACUCUGAGGACUUGGGGUCCAGAGGUGGAGACCUUCCAGCUGGUUCUACCCCAUCCCAGCAGAGCCACAGAGCAUCAUAGACGGGAAGACCAGUCUUCCUUCAACUGGCCACCUCCAGUCUUGCCUACUCCUGGUGUAACUUGUAGACCCAAGAGAUCCUGGUGAAGUUUUCUAUACCCUGCACAACCUCAAUAAAUUGUCCACCUCAAUAAAUUUUGAAACAUGCUGUGCUGUGUAUUUUUUGGGUUUUGUUUGUUUACCAAAAUACCCAUGUGUACCAGCUAGGCUGGGUAUAGAGAAGGUAGUCACAGGGUGAAUCUUCCAGUUUUCACUUACUGAGAAUUCCCACUUAGCAUGCUCCUAAGUGGGAUGUGACCUAGGGAAUUUGAGGUAGGAGGUAGGAUUUGGACUAGAG
rnacentral:lncRNA from 1 species